rnacentral:tRNA from 1 species
AGCCUUGUAGUCAAAAAUGAUUUCAAAUUGCAAAUUUGAAGGUGGAUAUUUCCUAAGGCUU